GGCUGGUUCCAUUGUAGUGGGUUAUCAGAACUUAUUAACAUUAGUGUCAUUAAAGUGGUAUACAAACCCUCACCGCUAAAUUUGACUGGCUUUAA
ensembl:misc_RNA Y_RNA Y RNA